rnacentral:rRNA from 1 species
AGUAACGCGUGAGGAACCUGCCUCAAAGAGGGGGACAACAGUUGGAAACGACUGCUAAUACCGCAUAAGCCCACGGCUCGGCAUCGAGCAGAGGGAAAAGGAGCAAUCCGCUUUGAGAUGGCCUCGCGUCCGAUUAGCUAGUUGGUGAGGUAAUGGCCCACCAAGGCGACGAUCGGUAGCCGGACUGAGAGGUUGAACGGCCGCAUUGGGACUGAGACACGGCCCAG